rnacentral:snRNA from 1 species
ACACUCUUGUUUCUCUUCAGAUCGUAUAAAUUGUUCGCCUUUUACUAAAGAUUCCCAUGGAGAAGAACAGUAAGAGUUUUACCUAAUUUUUUGAUACCCUACGUAUGCGGGGCU